GCUCCUGUGCCUAGUUCAAGGAAGAGCUAUUCUGACUGCAUUAGAGGGAAGCUGCAUCACACCGUCAAUAUCUCCUCCACUUAUCUGCUGCAGUGGGGAUAGGAGAGAAAAAGUAACAGCAUAUGGGCCCAGAGAAUGUCUGCAGGAAGGGGAAUCUCCUCCCACACUUCCCAUAUAAACUUCAGUGAACUUAGCUUUGCAAACCCUGCAAAGCUAUGUGUUAGCAUCCUCUUUAACAAGAAAGGCAACUGA
rnacentral:lncRNA from 1 species